UGUACGGAGAGUUUGAUCCUGGCUCAGGGCGAACGCUGGCGGCGUGCCUAAAACAUGCAAGUCGAGCGGGGGUUGGCCGCGGGGCAACCCGCGGUUUCAGCUCUAGCGGCGAACGGGUGAGUAACACGUGGGUAACCUACCCCGAAGACGGGGAUAACCCCGGGAAACCGGGGCUAAUACCCGAUGCCCUUCCCUGGGGGGCAUCCCUGGGGGAGGAAAGGGUUGGGCGCAAGCCCUUCCGCUUCGGGAUGGGCCCGCGGCCUAUCAGCUGGUUGGUGGGGUAACGGCCCACCAAGGCGAUGACGGGUAGCUGGCCUGAGAGGGUGGCCAGCCACACUGGCACUGAGACACGGGCCAGACUCCUACGGGAGGCAGCAGUUGGGAAUCUUGGGCAAUGGGCGCAAGCCUGACCCAG
rnacentral:rRNA from 1 species